AUAAGAUUUUAAUUGAAUGCUAAGAGAAUGGAAUUUCAGAAAAAAACUUUUUUCAAGUUAAAAAUUGAAAUUUUUUCAAUUUGUGCAGAAACAAUUAUUAAUAUUAAGGACAAGAAGACCCUAUGAAUUUAUAAAUUUUAUUUAAUAUGUAACUACUAUUGAAAAAAUUUUAGCUGGGGCGGCGGAAAAAUAUUUAAAACUUUUUUAAAAUAAAAUGACCCAUUAUUAAUGAUUAUAUGUUAAAUACUCUAGGGAUAACAGCGUUAUAUUUUUUGAUAGAUCAUAUUGACAAAAAAGUUUGCGACCUCGAUGUUGGAUUAGGAUACUUUUUUAAUGCAGAUAUUAAAAAAAGAAGUU
rnacentral:rRNA from 1 species